AGUCGACGAUGAAUCUUCUAGCUUGCUAGAAGUGGAUUAGUGGCGCACGGGUGAGUAAUGCAUAGGUUAUGUGCCCUUUAGUCUGGGAUAGCCACUGGAAACGGUGAUUAAUACUGGAUACUCCCUACGGGGGAAAGUUUUUCGCUAAAGGAUCAGCCUAUGUCCUAUCAGCUUGUUGGUGAGGUAAUGGCUCACCAAGGCUAUGACGGGUAUCCGGCCUGAGAGGGUGAUCGGACACACUGGAACUGAGACACGGUCCAGACUCCUACGGGAGGCAGCAGUAGGGAAUAUUGCUCAAUGGGGGAAACCCUGAAGCAGCAACGCCGCGUGGAGGAUGAAGGUUUUAGGAUUGUAAACUCCUUUUGUUAGAGAAGAUUAUGACGGUAUCUAACGAACAAGCACCGGCUAACUCCGUGCCAGCAGCCGCGGUAAUACGGAGGGUGCAAGCGUUACCCGGAAUCACUGGGCGUAAAGAGUGCGUAGGCGGGGUAAUAAGUCAGAUGUGAAAUCCUGUAGCUUAACUACAGAACUGCAUUUGAAACUGUUACUCUGGAGUGUGGGAGAGGUAGGUGGAAUUCUUGGUGUAGGGGUAAAAUCCGUAGAGAUCAAGAGGAAUACUCAUUGCGAGGGCGACCUGCUGGAACAUUACUGACGCUGAUGCACGAAAGCGUGGGGAGCAAACAGGAUUAGAUACCCUGGUAGUCCACGCCCUAAACGAUGGAUGCUAGUUGUUGCCUUGCUUGUCAGGGCAGUAAUGCAGCUAACGCAUUAAGCAUCCCGCCUGGGGAGUACGGUCGCAAGAUUAAAACUCAAAGGAAUAGACGGGGACCCGCACAAGCGGUGGAGCAUGUGGUUUAAUUCGAAGAUACGCGAAGAACCUUACCUAGGCUUGACAUUGAU
rnacentral:rRNA from 1 species